rnacentral:tRNA from 1 species
ACUUUUAAAGGAUAAAAGUAAUCCAUUGGUCUUAGGAACCAAAAAUCUCGGUGCAACUCCAAGUAAAAGUA